AGAAAAGCGAUGAGAAAGAAGAGUAACUAGUUGUAUUCGUUCAGUGAACUGGUGGUAGUGAGAAACCAGUCGACCCUACGCUAGUGAAUAACACUUUCGCGAGUGCUGCCAACCCAAAUAGGUUUACUUAAAGUAGGCUUGGCCGGAUCCGGACCGUUACCUCACCGGCAGAGCAUGAUGUGCUCUUGAGGAGGCCUAGUUUUAUACUAGACAAUUUGGGUGGUACCGCGGAAAAAAGCCUUUCGUCCCUUGA
rfam:Lactobacillus reuteri DSM 20016, complete genome.